rnacentral:rRNA from 1 species
UACGGGGGGGGGCAAGCGUUGUUCGGAAUUACUGGGCGUAAAGGGCUCGUAGGUGGCCAACUAAGUCGGACGUGAAAUCCCCUCAGCUUAACUGGGGAACUGCGUCCGAUACUGGAUGGCUUGAGUUUGGGAGAGGGAUGCGGAAUUCCAGGUGUAGCGGUGAAAUGCGUAGAUAUCUGGAGGAACACCGGUGGCGAAGGCGGCAUCCUGGACCAACACUGACACUGAGGAGCGAAAGCCAGGGGAGCAAACGGG